rnacentral:misc_RNA from 1 species
GUAGNUUAUUGCCAGGGUUUUUAUUUUUAUACUUUAAACUUUGAUUUUAUUUUUAUGUUUUUUAAAUAUUGGUGUUUUUGAAUGUGUUGUUUAAAUAACAUAAAAAAUAAAAUAUAUAUUGACAUGUAUUAAACAAAGAUAUAUAUUAUUUUAUGUUGUAUAAAUAAAUUGGCAAAAUAGAGAUGGAAGAUAAAAAUAUGGUCAAAGUAAUAAGAGUCUAUGGUGAAUGCCUAGGA